rnacentral:rRNA from 1 species
AUUGAACGCUGGCGGCAGGCCUAACACAUGCAAGUCGAACGAGUGGCGGACGUGUGAGUAAUGUCUGUGAAACUGCCCGCUGGAGUGUGAUAACUACUGGAAACGGUAGCUAAUACCGCAUACCAUCGUAUGUGCCCAUAUGUGUUUAGGUAGUGGGUGGUGUAAUGGCUCACCUAGGCGCCGAUUCCUCGCUGGUCUGAGAGGAUGACCAGCCACACUGGAACUGAGACACGGUCCAGACUCCUACGGGAGGCAGCAGUGGGGAAUAUUGCACAAUGGGCGCAAGGCUGAUGCAGCCAUGCCGCGUGUAUGAAGAAGGCCUUCGGGUUGUAAAGUACUUUCAGCGAGGAGGCGUGACUCGAAGAAGAAGCACCGGCUAACUCCGUGCCAGCAGCCGCGGUAAUUC